rnacentral:lncRNA from 1 species
AGCUGCCCUCUUGCUUGGUUCAUGCUGUGGUAGAACAGCUUAAGGGCUUUGGCAAAUUCUCUGUCGGAGCUGGCUGGCCGAGUAUACAUUUGGUUCAUCUCUCUGGCUGCUGGAGGGUGUGCUGCCGUCCAAGUUAGCUUCAGGGUGUUGGAAGGCUUAUGUGCUGAGGUGGUGAGAGACAGAACAUUUAUUUCAACAUCUGCUCUCCCAAGUCCCUAUGUACAUAUUUAUUUUGGUGGCAAUCUACACCAGCAUUUAUCAAGCACAGGUUGAGACACAUCCAGGCAGAAGGGGAAACAAGAUAUAGAUCAACUUGUUUUAUGAAACAAGAUACAGAUCAACUCAUUAAAAAGUAAAUUUCUUUGAAAUACAGAUACACAUCUCAGAGCUCAGUUGGUUAAGCAUCCAACCUUAGCUCAGGUUACGAUCUCACAGUUCGUGAGUUCAAGCCCCGCUUUGGGCUCUGUGCUGACAGCUUGGAGCCUAGAGCCUGCUGAAGAUUCUGUGUCUCCCUCUCUCUCUGACCCUCCCCUGAUCUCUUUCUCUCUCUCUCAAAAAUAAACAUAAAAAAUUAAAAAAAUAUAUAUAUAUAUAAAUAUCCAUCUCAAACGUAGGAGUUUAGAGAGAAACUUAAGCAAGACUUACGUAGCCUCUCACCUUGUUGAGUAGAACCGACCUUCUCAAGUGAUUGUUUGAGAAACACGUUUUCUUCUCUCAGGGCUCUGUUGGUGUCUCUGAGCAGCUCUGUCUCCUGCUCUAACUUGAGCAGCUUCAUGUAGAGUUCCGAUAUCUGAUUUGAUGGCGUCUACAAAAAACAUGUCAGGUUAGCCUUUCGCGGGGUUAUCUGCAUACCCUUUGGGACUGGCAGUUUUACCCCCCUAGAUGGGGUGGGGGUGAGGGUGUGGUGAGCAGGGUUGAAGCCCCUGGGGGAACACAGCAGUAAAUAAGGAAAACAUUUGUUAAGUGGAAGGAACACCGAUGAUCCCUAAGCAGCUGUCACGUGCGAUGCCCGUUUGAAUGUCACAUAAAUGGGCACACCUGGCCUGGAUCCAUCAGAGUGGACAUUUUCUUGGUGUCCACCAUGACGUGGCCUUCACUUGUGACCAUGAGGUCCGACUGAGAGCAGUCCAGCUGGGCGCAGCCUUCUGUAAUGUGAGGGAGACACCAUCAAGGAAAGAAACACCUCCAGGCCCAGUGUUGUGUGAAGAGAAUUUUUUUUUUUAAAUGUAUGUUUCUUUGUUUAUUUAUUCAUUUAGAGACAGAAUACCAGCAAGGGAGGGGCAGAGAGAGAGAGAGAGAGGGAGAGAGAGAAUCCCCAGCAGGCUCCGCACUGUCAGCGCAGAUCCCCACGCAGGGCUCGAACUCACGAACCGUGAGAUCGUGACCUGAGCCGAAAUCAAGAGUCAGGCACUUACCAACUGAGCCACCCAGGCGCCCCUACGUGAAGAGGUUUAAGCCAUUUAAUCCCCUGUGGACUAGAGCCCAGGGACCCAGGAGAAGACCGCCCUGGGCUAUUAAGACCCUGACCCCCUCCCUCCUCCACAUCCUUGGCAACCCUAGAUAUAUUGACGUGAUAUCUGAUUGAAGAAUGCAUCGUGCAAAAGAGGAAGCAAACGUGGUACCUUGAAGACCCCAUAAAUCGACAAUGAGAGCGUUUGUUUGUAAAUAAUUCAGAAACUCCUGAGAUGCAUUUAAGGCUGUAAAUUGGACAGUUUCUUCUAUUUGGGGAUUCACCAUUUUCCAUACAGGCUUGGUAUAGAAAGUGCUUGAAAGGUCAUACAUUCUGUACCUGAGAAAAGAACAUAAAACAGAAUUCCAAGCCAGAAGGGACACAUUUACAAAGAAAUGGAUCAGAUGAGCCAAAGAAUGAUGGCUUGGCUUGGUUACUUGAUACGAGACGACCUGAAAUUGAUCCUCGUGCUUGCCACCCCCCAACAUUUCCGCUAUUUAACACGAGUAGCAUCACUACAUGGACAGUAUUAAAUGUCUAGCAAAAAGGAAAUGGAUUUUGAGAAAUAUGUUCUACUUUGAUCAUCUAAAUUUGUUAAUUUUAUUUAUUUAUUUUUUAAUGUUUAUUUUUGAGACAGAGAGAGACAGAGUGUGAGCAGAGGAGGGGCAGAGAAAGGGGGAGACCCAGAAUCCGAAGCAGGCUCCAGGCUCUGAGCUGUCAGCACAGAGCCCGAUGCGGGGCUCGAACCCACGAACUGUGAGAUCAUGACCUGAGCCCAAGUCGGACACUUAACCGACUGAGUCACCCAGGCGCCCCUAAAAUUGUUAAUAUUCCACGUGAGGUAGUGUUUUGGGUUUUGUCCUUCAAAGUUUCCCUUUCUUUAUUGCUUGAUCUCUUACCGUCUCUUAGCCUGACUAAGCCUAUCUGGUGUUUCUUCCAUAUUGUGAUAACAGUCCUUUCAUUUCCAACUCAAAAAGACAAAAAACAAAAAACACAACAAAAAACCCAUGAUUCUACGUAGAGAGUACAGCUUCCCUUGAUAUUCUAUCGGAUAAUUAGAAUCUCUGACCACUGCUUCAAUCACCAAGGAUCAAUAAACGUGGCUUUCAGUCCAGCAACCUAGAAGGAUGUGGGACUUCUAUUAACCGAUGGGGAAAUAGGCAUUUUGGGGUUGAACAAGCAGAGAAACGUAUGAAAAUUUCGUGAUGAACUCGUUUUUCAAGUGCCAAGAGAGACUCCCGCCCACCAAGGCCCACGAGGUGGGGGGUGUGUGCACAGCCGGUACCCCAUCUGAAUGCCUCGCUCUGCGUCCUCCUUCAGCCACUUGACCCCAAGGCACCGCACGAGGCCAACCUGGAAGUCCAUCCUCUUGCCCAGCAGCUCCGACGGGUCGAUAACCACGUCCUCCUCACCGCACGCUCUGCGAACAGAGGAGGACAGGGCAGAUCACAGAUCGGCCGGGGCCCGAGCAGGUGAGGGUCGUGUCGUCAAAGGGCACUCCUGAGACUCCUCGAGAUAUGGCCAGCUUCUCUGAAGAAAAGACGAGGAGCGUUGCCAGCCGCGGAGCGUGUUCACGCAACAGGCAUUCAAGGAGCUCCCAGCCUCCUGGAGGAAGAGACCGCAACGUAACCGCCUCGUGUAGGAUGCGACCCAGCCCCGGAGCCCCGGGCAGGUUCCCAGUGGGGUAGAGGCUGCGGCCUCUCAAGGCGACCCUUUCCUUGGUGAGCUCUGCACAGUCCAGAGUCAACUCCAGGCCUACAGGUUCGCGAACCAGUUUGGACAGCUUUCCAACAGGGGGCGUCUGUCACGUCAACCUCGCGUCGAGCCCAUAAGCUAGAAUGUGCCUUAGGAGUUUGCGACGAGAGAGAAACCGUCCGGCAGCCGAGAAGCCCGAGGUGGCCAAGUGACCAGAAAGUCGCUGAGACUCCCAGUAAAGACAGUGAGUCGAUGGUCAGCUUGGUCUCUGGGUGCCAGGACCCCGCGGCCCUGAGCUGGUUCCCUCUUCAGAAAGACAGGGAGGCCGUCCCGGGUGCCUGAGAGCGCCUCGCACCCAGACCAGACCGCCGCCUGCCCGCCUCUUUGCUUAGAAUUGCUGAGAGACCUGGGCUUUUGUGAAAACGCUGUGGACUGCCCAUGGCCUAGAGAGAGGGAAGAGAGGGGGUCCCUGAGAGGACGGUGAAGGGCAGUGCAGCAGAGUUAUAGCAACGCCCGUCCCCACAGAAGGUCGGCGAACAACUCAGAAGGAGGCCACGUCAGGGGACGAAGACACCUCAGUCCCUGCCUUGAGGGAAGGGACAGAAAUCCCAUGGGAGCCUAUACCACGGAUGGAGAAGGGACGAGCUGGAAACUCUGCUUUCUUCCAGCCCUCGGGCCGCAUCAGCGAGGACCUGAGACAUUCCCGGCCCGCCGAUUUGGCCGCCGUGGCAAAAAUCAGAUUUGCUGGGGCCAAAUCGUGACUGAAUGAGCUCUUCGGGGACACCGUGCUGACCAGCUCAUCCAGGAGAGCGCGGGCAUGCUGGGAGUUUUCUGCCAGGACCGGGCCGGGCUGGGGGGGCGGGUAGAGAGGGGACACCCACCGUCCCGCCGGGGAGCAGGGAGUCACGCAGACGUGCACCACGGCCUCUUCCUCCCCCUCGCAGUUCAUGAACUCCACCUGCUCCUCCAGCUUCAUGGAGUAGGCCAGCGACUGGAGCCAGAUGUGGGCUGAGCCCAAGUGGACAACCUCGACAGGGUCCCAGAAGGGGUCAUCUUCCUGAGCCACGUGGCUGUCUUCUCCAUCCAGAAAGCGCUGGUAAAGUUCCUCCAUGAGAAAUUUCCUGUUGAUAAACUUGGCUUUUGACCAGAUCCACACCUACGAACACAAAGAUAGGUCACCGGGAUUGGAUUUCACCUGCUCACAGUUC